UACGUAGGGGGCAAGCGUUAUCCGGAAUUACUGGGUGUAAAGGGAGCGUAGACGGUAAUGUAAGUCUGGAGUGAAAGGCGGGGGCCCAACCCCCGGACUGCUCUGGAAACUAUGUUACUGGAGUGCAGGAGAGGUAAGCGGAAUUCCUAGUGUAGCGGUGAAAUGCGUAGAUAUCAGGAGGAACAUCGGUGGCGAAAGCGCUUUACUGGACCAUUAUUGACGCUGAGGAACGAAAGCCAGGGGAGCAAAUGGG
rnacentral:rRNA from 1 species